AUUGGCACCGGCGGCAUGGUGCUGUAAUCCAGCUGCUUUGGAGGUCUAAGCUGCUGGACGGCGUGAGGUUGGAAGCUCUGCCCUCUGUUUCCAGUUGAACUGGGGAAGCCCGGAUUCACCAGGUUAUUUAAGGAGGAGCGAACCGGCCCAGGGCGGAAAAGCAGCAGGCAAAACUCCUACACGGUGAAGUAGUGGGAUAGCGCUAGUGAAUAGGCGACGGUGGGCAUCCCAUCCAACAUAGUACGCAGUUCUUU
rnacentral:SRP_RNA from 1 species